rnacentral:snRNA from 1 species
AUUUUUUUUUUUUUUUGUA